CAGCUGCUUUCUCUUUUCUUUGUUCAAUCUGUUCCAUGUGCCUCCUAAUGCUUUCAUCAUGCUUCAGCUGAAUCUUUUUCUGCAGUUCUUCCAUGGCUUCUUGUUGAGCUGCUGUAAGAGCUGCCAACCUCUCCUCUCGAUCUCUGGCCCUUUCUCGUGCUGCAUCUUCCCGUGCUUUCUCUUUCUCUUGCCUCUGCUGUUCAAUCCGUGCUUCUUGUUCUUUCCUCUUCAACAGCAGCUCUUCAACCCGAGCCUGGCGUUCUGCUUCCAGAGCUCUUUUGCGCUCCUGAACAGCUUCAUCACGUGCUUGCUUUUCCUCUUGCCUUCGUUGACGCUCCUCUUGUAAUUCAUUUAAGCGCUGCUCGUAUUCUUUUAAUUUAUUCAGCACAUCAUGACGUUUGUUCUGAGCUUCUAAGGUGUUUAUAAAAGCAAUUUCAUUUACCUUAGCUUCCUCCUCUUGUGCUUUUUUCACAAUUGCUUGGAGCUGCACUUCACGUUUGAACUCUGCAUGGAGCAGUUUUUCCUCCAUCAUUCUGCGCCUUUGAUCUAAUAGUUCUUCCUUCCAUUUCCGUACAUCUUUCUCCCUCUCCAUUAAUUUCUGAAGCUUCAGUGCCUUUUCUUCACGUAACUUUUCUCUCAGCUGUUGAGCUUUCAUUUGUUUUUCUUCGUGUUUCUUCUUGGAUUCUGCUAUUGUUCUUUUUCGUGAGGGUGAUGACAGUUUCUCAUGCAUGUGUAUUCCAUGGCCAGGUGGGCGUGCAGGCUCUUCUUCCAC
rnacentral:lncRNA from 1 species